rnacentral:lncRNA from 1 species
GGCACUGCACUGGUGUAAAUCCUCAUGGAAGACAUUGCAGCUAUGACAACUUACACCAGCACCUGAGCUUCCCUGGAAAUAACACUACAAAGCAGCAAUGUUAGUGACCAGUAGAGAAUUAUUAAAGGAACACAGAUAAUUGGAAGAAAAUAAAUGACCUGGGUAGAAGAGCUACUAUAAAAUGAAGUGCAGGUAAAUGGACCUGACCUACCUCUUAAUGAAAUCUCCUUUUUUACACGAUGAAGACAGCAGCUUGGAAAAACAGAAAAAGAAAAAGGGAGUUUAAAGACACAUGACUUCGAUGUUACUGAAGAUUGUGUCAUAAUCAUCAAAUGGAGCUCGUGCCAAAUAAACCAGAUGGAGCUUUCAAUCAACAAACUGCAUUUAUUUUUGAUAUCUGUGGCUUAUUUGUUACCCAUGCACCUUUUAAUAGGAUAAGGAUUUCUGAGAUAUUAUCACAUGGUUCUAUCAUGGAUACUUUCUGCAGGCACCAGUUUGCCACCAAAGAUACUAAUCAUGAAAGAAAGUGGUAUAGAAACUCAUAUUGAUGUUUUGCCUUUCCAGAGGAAGUAAAUGACAGCAAAGCAUAUUUCAAGGUCUGGUUGCCAACAUACUCAAUUAAGCAGAGUUUGGAGGAGGAGGAGAAGGAGGAGGGGGAUGGCUGGAAACUCCCAACCAUACUACAAAUGACAGCUAUCUGCUGUCAGAGACCUGGUGACGUUGAACCAAACUGUGAAAUAUGUGUAAUUCUUCAAAUAUCGCUGAUGAUGUAGCACCAGAUUUUUAUUUUUUUCCAUGUGCAUGUGACUGCUUUUGACCAUGACAGGUUUUCAUAAAUCUGGUGUCAUUAUAGAACACAUGACUUGUGUCACCACUGCUACAACAAGAGAAAUCCAUCACAGAUCAAAGUGCCAGGAAAAGUCAUCUUCACUAUAUAAGCCCCACUUAAGCUUUCCAAAUACAGCUUGAGUGGAAUUUAAGUGGGCCAUAGACCAUGUUUCUGCUCCUAUACAUAGACAUGAAUUUUACAAUUUGGAAACAAAACUAAAACAUAAAGUAUUUUCUUAUGUAACACAAAGCUAUCUGAAGUCACAAGGCCAUUCAGACCUAGCUAUCUUUGCCAAUAUUUUACCUUGAAUGCCAUGUUAGUUUUUGUAGAAUAUGAACCUAAACAAUAAAACUUUGCAGUAUUAUUUUAAUGCUUUUAAU